GCACAAGCGGUGGAUUAUGUUGUUUAAUUCGACGCAACGCGAAGAACCUUACCAGGCCUUGACAUACUCGGCAAAGCUCUAGAGAUAGAGUGGAGGUUAUCCGGGAUACAGGUGGUGCAUGGUUGUCGUCAGCUCGUGUCGUGAGAUGUUGGGUUAAGUCCCGCAACGAGCGCAACCCUUGUCUUUAGUUACCAUCAUUCAGUUGGGGACUCUAGAGAGACUGCCGGUGAUAAACCGGAGGAAGGUGGGGAUGACGUCAAAUCAUCAUGCCCCUUAUGGCCUGGGCUACAAACGUAAUACAAUGGCGUAUACAAAGGGAUGCGAAAGGGCGACCUGGAGCAAAACUCACAAAGUACGUCUCAGUUCAGAUUGGAGUCUGCAACUCGACUCCAUGAAGGCGGAAUCGCUAGUAAUCGCGGAUCAGCAUGCCGCGGUGAAUACGUUCUCGGGGUUU
rnacentral:rRNA from 1 species